rnacentral:lncRNA from 1 species
CUCAGGUAUACCUUGGGAUCCAAAAUCAGCAUGGUGAUUUUUGGCGAUGGUCACUGUGAUGGUUAAUAUUAAUUCUCAACUUGAUCGGAUUGAAGGAUGCAAAGCAUUAUUCCUCAGUGUGUCUGUUAACAUCUGACUGGGAGAGGCGGACCCAACCUCAAACUGGGUGGGCACCAUCUAAUCAGCUGCCAGCACGGCUAGGAUAAAAGCAGCCAAAAGAACAUGGAAAGACUAGACUGGCUGAGUCUUCCAGCCUCAUCUUUCUCCUGUGCUGGAUGCUUCCUGCCCUGGAACAUCGGACUCCAAGUUCUUCAGCUUUUGGACUCUUGGACUUACACCAGUGGUUUGCCAGGGGCUCUGGGACCUUUGACCAUAGACUGAAGGCUGCCCUACUGGCUUCCCCACUUUUGAGGUUUUGGGACUCAGACUGGCUUCCUGGCUCCUCAGCUUGCAGACGGCCUCUUGUGGGACCUCACCUUGUGAUCGUGUGAGUCAAUACUCCUUAAUAAGCUCCCCUUUAUAUAUACAUCUAUCCUAUUAGUCUUGUCCCACUAGAGAACCCUAAUACAGUUACAUAUAUCCCAAAAUUCCCUCACAAAUCCCAUAGGAAGCAGCCACACUGGCCAUCCAUAGAUCAUUUCUAAAUACAGUAAGUCCUGCCCAGCCAGCUGAUCCCACGUUAUUAUUUGGUUGCGAACCAGAUGAAGCUAUUUCCUUGUAUUUAGAGGUCAAAUUGUAGGAGAAAUGUUAAUCUUUCAAUAUUGUAAAAACAUGCAUAAACACUGGACUCCUACUUAGGGCAGCAAAGGGCCACAUGGGAAAAGAAGCUGGUGAUUCCUGAGACUGGUGAAGGAUCAGCCAUCUGCAGCUGCCACCCUAACCUCACCCUGGACAUGCUCCCAUUCCACAGCCUGCAGAAGCAAACUGCCUGUACUUAUAUUAUGCUUGCUUUCUCUUCACAAGCAUACGUGACUGAGUCCGUGUACAUUAAAGGCUUAUGACAA